GAAACCCCUGACAGUGUGGUGGAACCAUCUUUCUAUGGUUCUUACACUGAAUCUGAGCCGACGUGCAUGAUGCAUCAUCAGAGGCCGAAGAAUAUGGUGGCUUUUGAAGGUGCUUUGACUGGGAUGCGAUUCCUGGGUUGUCAUGUGCAGUAGGUGGAUGGUCCUUGGCCAGAGAUUCUACAAAGGUGCCUAACAAGGAUUUGGGACAUGUACCAUAACUUGGGGAGGGUGAGUGACAAACAAGCCCAUGAGAAAGAGGUGGGCAAGCUACAAAAGGAAAUUGAUUUCCUGUCAAACAACUACAACCAGUUGGUGGAAGAUGUAUCCAAGCUUUUUGACUAUCAAGAUGGCAAGAUGUCUCAUGACAUGGACUAUACCAGUCAGGCAAUCAAUGAACUAGCUGAGAAGAAGAAACAACUUGAGGAUCAGGCAAAGAUUGAGUUAAGUAUGGAAAAGCUGAAGCUUGCCAAGGAGCAAAGGUGCAUUCGUCAAAGCCAAGCAGAUAUCAUUCAGAACAUGAGGAAGGCCAUGAAGGAACUGGAGGGGGACAGGGACCUACUUAAGCAAGAGAAGAAGAAGCUGGAGUAUCUGAUUGCUGAUCUGCUCAAUGCUAGGCAUGCCAGCAAAGAUAAGCUGGAAAGGAUCAAGGCAAUUAUGAAUGAGUGA
rnacentral:rRNA from 1 species